rnacentral:lncRNA from 1 species
GCCAUGGCUAUUAUACUAUUAUGAGUAAUGGAGCCCUCGUACUCAUAAGUUGUUUUCAAUGAUGGAGCUUUCGAAUCGACAAUCCACUCCGUUAAAUAUGAUCUAGAGUAUUGAAACUUCUAGAAAAUAAAUUUCGUAAAUUUUCGAAAUCAUAAUAAAGUCCAUCACGUGGGCAUAAAAUGAACGGUCAAAAUCGAACGAUGUCCUAAAAAAGGAUGAUCGGAUCCUUCAAUUCAAGAUCGGAGAUAUUGAUCUUUAUCUAUAUAGUGAAUAGAAUUUUCUAUCAAAAAUUUAACAAAUUCCGAUUCUUUUACACCGUUAAACUAGCAAGUAUUCCCAUACCAGCCGUUAAAAAUUGUCAAAUUUGUGACCUCUUGAUCGUAAGGUAAAUAAUGUUGAAAAGUUAUAACAUUUGAUUUCUAUACGUUUUAAAUGCUCUAGAUAACGUUUAACGGUGUGGAUCGUCGAUUCGGAAGCCCUAUCAUCGAAAACAACUUAUGAGUACGAGGGCGAUCAUACUCAUAAGAGUAUAGUAGCCAGACCCUAU